UCUCCGUUGGUGAACCUGCGGAGGGAUCAUUACCGAGUGAGGGCCCACGGCCCGACCUCCAACCCUUUGUGUUUCUGACUGUGUUGCCUCGGGGGCGACCCGGGCCCGUCGGCGCGGGGCCCCCGAUGGACAAUCUCAAAACACUGCAUCUUUGCGUCGGAUUACAAAGUUUAAUGAAUUAAAACUUUCAACAACGGAUCUCUUGGUUCUGGCAUCGAUGAAGAACGAAGC
rnacentral:misc_RNA from 1 species